GACGAACGCUGGCGGCGUGCUUAACACAUGCAAGUCGAACGGAAAGGCCCUGCUUUUGUGGGGUGCUCGAGUGGCGAACGGGUGAGUAACACGUGAGUAACCUGCCCUUGACUUUGGGAUAACUUCAGGAAACUGGGGCUAAUACCGGAUAGGAGCUCCUGCUGCAUGAUGGGGGUUGGAAAGUUUCGGCAGUUGGGGAUGGACUCGCGGCUUAUCAGCUUGUUGGUGGGGUAGUGGCUUACCAAGGCUUUGACGGGUAGCCGGCCUGAGAGGGUGACCGGCCACAUUGGGACUGAGAUACGGCCCAGACUCCUACGGGAGGCAGCAGUGGGGAAUAUUGCACAAUGGGCGGAAGCCUGAUGCAGCAACGCCGCGUGCGGGAUGAAGGCCUUCGGGUUGUAAACCGCUUUCGCCUGUGACGAAGCGUGAGUGACGGUAAUGGGUAAAGAAGCACCGGCUAACUACGUG
rnacentral:rRNA from 1 species